GCUCAGAAACGUAAAGGAAUUGACGGGGCCCGCACAAGCGGAGGAGCAUGUGGUUUAAUUCGAUGAUACGCGAGGAACCUUACCUGGGCUCGAACGUAAGAUGACUGUAGGUGAAAGCUUACAUCUCUUCGGAGCAUUUUACGAGGUGCUGCAUGGUUGUCGUCAGCUCGUGCCGUGAGGUGUCGGGUUAAGUCCCAUAACGAGCGCAACCCCUACCUUUAGUUGCCAUCAGGUAAUGCUGGGGACUCUAAAGGAACUGCCUACGCAAGUAGUGAGGAAGGCGGGGAUGACGUCAAGUCAGCACGGCCCUUACGUCCAGGGCUACACACGUGCUACAAUGGCCGAUACAGAGGGCAGCUACCUGGUGACAGGAUGCAAAUCUCCAAAGUCGGUCUCAGUUCGGAUCGGAGUCUGCAACCCGACUCCGUGAGGUUGGAUUCGCUAGUAAUCGCGCAUCAGCCAUGGCGCGGUGAAUACGUUCCCGGGCCUU
rnacentral:rRNA from 1 species